rnacentral:lncRNA from 1 species
CUCCAAUUAUGUGAUACAGGGAAGGAUAGAAAGUGGGAAUAACAUAGGGAAUAAUCUCCUAAUAUUUAAAUAGCAUUUUCAUUAUAGUCAUCAUAUUAAAUGCAAGUGGCCUAAUCCAGUAUCAGUGUACCUACAUUAAUGAUGAUCAUGUUCUAUUGAUUUUAACAGUGGAAUCCUAUGCCGCUUUACUCAGAAAUAGAAGACUCAUUGCAAUCAAUGAGACUUGCACCCAGCUUUCCAAUGGUUAUCUUGAGGAGCAACUAAUGUAUAAUUGGUGACUUUGUGAUGGUGCAUCAUGGAAAAGGAACAACAUUUCUAGAUACAAAAGUGAAACUGCCCAUGAAAUCAGCAGGAAAAAAGGCAACUCAGGAUACAUUAUUGCUCCCUCAGCAGUAUCUUCUUGG